AGCUUUGAAAACUGGGGUCUGUCCACCUCAUUUAUAAGCACAACUCCAUAAUGCUCUGGUUGAUCCGGUGGGAACGUCCCACUACCCGAUGCAGCGGCGUCGGCGGUCCUUCUCUUCUUAGGGGGCAUGGUACCUACAAUAAUUCAUAGUCAAUUUCCAUGUACCAUCAAACAAAACCAAACGAAAGUUAUAGCAAUAACGUCUCUAACUAGCAAGAUCACCCUACUAGCCUCAUCUCCCUAUCCCAACUUUACUACUUUCAUCUCCCAAAAUCAAGCACAAGAACACCACAAAAAAAAAAAACUAAAAAAUCAUGAACAUUCUUCCCAUUCAAAAGCAAAGACUCCCAUGCUACACUACUCAUGUAAAUCAUCCAACAAUUCUAAGCAAAAAUCACACAUGAGUAAUACCUACUUCUCCUCUUGUAUGCAAACUAACCAAUCACAACAAAAAUCCUCAUCAAUUCCAUAUGCUAG
rnacentral:lncRNA from 1 species